GGAACAGGAAGCUCAAGCAGUGGAACAUUUGAGUUGCUGGUACUUAGCGCCGGUGAACUCUGACCCUAAACAUAAUCUUUAUUUAUUAUAUACAUUAUACGUACAUACAUUAUACAUACAUGGAACGUUUACACAUAGUAUUAUAUAAUUGGAAUACAGUUUGAUAUACACAUCUGCAAGUUCAAAUCCCCGAGCUACCAAGAUACAGAUCUGUCGUUCUGACCCUGAACAGGUAGUUAACCCACUGUUCCUAGGCCGUCAUUGAAAAUAAGAAUUUGUUCUUAACUCACUUGCCUAGUUAAAUAAAUUACACAUAAAAUGGUACUCAUCAUUAUUCUUGCAAUAAGUCCCGUGGGAUCUUUAGUGACCACAGAGUAAGGACACCUGUUUAAAGUCCCAUCUUCUUCCAUUUGAUUGAGGAACAUGCUAGCAGCAGAUACCCAUAGACUUCCAGUCAUUGCGCUAAUGCUAGUUAGCAUUGGCUUGCGAAACUACUAACUUCCUUCAUACUGGACACAGAAACAUUAAAAUUGUAUCCCACGAGUUCAUCAGCCUCUUGGGUAAUAGAUAAAGGACAUCAUUGCCAAAAGGUUAUGGUCUGUGGUUUGUCUGUUUCCCCGGGUGGCAUUCGUAUACGUUUUCGUGCCCACAACUUGAAACGGAACACCAUUGAAUCGGGAGCCUUCUACUCUCUCAGCUGAGUUGUUUUCCUGAGACAGAGAUAUUAGAAUGGUAUCCCACGACUUCCUCAGCCUCUUGGGUAAUAGAUAAAGGACAUCUGAGCCUACUAGCUGAGUUUUUUUUCUCCUGAGCCUACUAGCUGAGUUGUUGUUUUUUUCCUGAGCCUACUAGCUGAGUUUUUUUUUUUCCUGAGCCUACUAGCUGAGUUUUUUUUUUUUUUUCCUGAGCCUCUAGCUGAGUUGUUUUUUUUUUCCUGAGCCUACUAGCUGAGUUUUUUUUUUUUCCUGAGCCUACUAGCUGAGUUUUUUUUUUUCCUGAGCCUACUAGCUGAGUUUUUUUUUUUCUUCCUGAGCCUACUAGCUGUUUUUUUUCUUCCUGAGCCUACUAGCUGAGUUUUUUUUUUUCUGAGCCUACUAGCUGAGUUGUUUUUUUUCCUGAGCCUACUAGCUGAGUUGUUUUCCUGCCGAAGGCUGUGCAUUUGUUGAAGGUCAAAAAUGUGUUAUUACUAUUUAACAAUGUUGCUCUGUCAAAUAGAAUAACACUCCCUUUUUGGACUCUCGACUGAAUUUUGGAUUUCCAACAAAAAUCUCUCGACCCCAAAAAACAAUGUUUACAUGUUUUAUUUGGCGCUGUGGCAGUCAAUUGAAAAACAUUCUAACAGUAUUUCUGAUUGUCUUCUCGAGAUUCCGAGGUGGAUGACCGUUCAAAUCGGGUUUUUUUCCUCAGUCGGAGCUCGCUUAUGUUUCAGUUCCCAGUUGUCUUGAAUGCGCUGAAGUCGGAAGGCAGAGAUUUCCCGAGUUCCCAAAUGUUUUGAAUGCGGCAUUAAUGUUCAGUGUGCCAUGGUAUUUUCCCUUUUGAGUCAUCAACCUAAACUCCUCAGUAGUGACCCGUGAAUUAAUUUGGUCACAUGACAGCUCAAUCAGCUGUUCGAUUUCACUUACCAGCAUGUCAACUGAGCCAGAAUCACAGUCAAACGGUUUAGGAAGUCGGUUCCCAAAGUUCUCUUCCAAGUGUAUGAGGUGAGUAGUCAUCACUCGUGCGGGACACUUACUGAUGCUCUUUUCUGUUUAGAGACAUGCACAGCCGAGAAGGUAGGAAGGGGUCUCUUUUGAAAGUCCAGUAAGAACUGGAACCCCCCCCCCGAUAACCACCAAGCCUUGGUGUGAAAUAGAACAGGGUCAUCCCCUGAUCCCAUUUCUCCACAUAGUUUUGCGAUAAGUCUGCGCGCGCAGUGGAUGUGGUUUGAGUCGCUACCUGCUGCAUGGUGUCUCCCGCGUUCUCAGAGCUCAGCACUUUUGCUGCCAGAUGCUCAAGAUACGCGACAUGGGAUCUUUUUGUGUCAAUAAAAUGAAUUAGCUUAUGCGAGAUAUAUCUCGGUGGAAACGCUUGUAUGCGCAAAUAUUGAUAUAAUAACAAUAAUUUCGAAGUACAUUUUGGAGUGACGCGAUGACAUGUUGUGUGGUUCUCCCCACUACGACUGAUCAGGAAAGCGUGCAGUUUCUUAGACUACAGAUUAAAUACAUUAAGGUGAUAAACUCGAUGCUCCUUUCCAAUAAAUAUCGAAGGUGUUAUUCUGGUGACAGGAUAAUCGAUGCUUGGCUGCCGAUUGUCCAUAAUAAUAAUGUAAUCGUAUAGGUUAUUUGUGCACAACGAGACAACAGUGCGCAGAUAGCCCUGUUGCCUCGAGCGCGCACGUGCCAAUACCAGAGUGACCACGCUCGCUAUGUAACGCAAACGCGUUUUGUGAGAGAACCAUCAGAAAGAGUUGAAAAAUGACAUGGAAAACACAUUUAACUUGUUGUUUUUUAAAAUUCGCUACAUGGGAAUUUAACCGCAAAAGGUUAUUUCUCUGAGCACUACGUAUGCGUCAUCACACUCCCUCUCGCCUGAUUGGUCGAGUAGGCGGGCCUUCUGACUUUGUGGCUGUGAUAACUAGUGAGACCCGCUCAUCUUCGUUGGAUAACAGAUGGUAUGAAAGGUGAGGACUCGUUUCCCCUCUGACCUAUCCCUAUUACCCUUCCCAUUGGACUGGCCCUCUAUUAUCUCAUUGAGAGCUCUCUGCACCAAUCAGAAGAGACUACUUGUUAAGAGCGGCGAGGGGCCAAAAACGGGAAAACGCAUGAGCACCGUCCGUUCUGCGGCUGUUUGGAAAACUGAAAGCUGGUACGUUUAUAGAAGGGAGAUCGACGGAGGGAGGCAAACAUUAAAAAGACAAAGCAGGUGUAGAGAGGUCGUUGGGAGGACAGAGAAAGGGGAGAGAACAGACUCAAAGAAAGCUAAUUAGCAUUUAUCUAUUUGUAAUACUGAGAAAAAAGGGUAAUUUAGAUGUAACAAUAUAUUACACUGAGUUCACCAUCCUGCAGAGAAAUGUGUGUAUUGGCCCUUGUGGUUCGAGUGUCGGGGG
ensembl:lncRNA